GGGGUUGUGGCUCAGUGGUAGAGCACAUGCCUUGCAUGUGUGAGGCACUAGGUUCAAUCCUCAGCACCA
rnacentral:tRNA from 1 species